rnacentral:rRNA from 1 species
AUUGAACGCUGGCGGCAGGCCUAACACAUGCAAGUCGAGCGGAUGAAGGGAGCUUGCUCCUGGAUUCAGCGGCGGACGGGUGAGUAAUGCCUAGGAAUCUGCCUGGUAGUGGGGGAUAACGUCCGGAAACGGGCGCUAAUACCGCAUACGUCCUGAGGGAGAAAGUGGGGGAUCUUCGGACCUCACGCUAUCAGAUGAGCCUAGGUCGGAUUAGCUAGUUGGUGGGGUAAAGGCCUACCAAGGCGACGAUCCGUAACUGGUCUGAGAGGAUGAUCAGUCACUGGAACUGAGACACGGUCCAGACUCCUAAGGGAGGCAGCAGUGGGGAAUAUUGGACAAUGGGCGAAAGCCUGAUCCAGCCAUGCCGCGUGUGUGAAGAAGGUCUUCGGAUUGUAAAGCACUUUAAGUUGGGAGGAAGGGCAGUAAGUUAAUACCUUGCUGUUUUGACGUUACCAACAGAAUAAGCACCGGCUAACUUCGUG